rnacentral:rRNA from 1 species
GACAGAGGGUGCAAACGUUGUUCGGAAUUACUGGGCGUAAAGCGUGUGUAGGCGGACCUGCAAGUCGGGGGUGAAAGCCCGAGGCUCAACCUCGGAACUGCCUUCGAUACUGCGGGUCUCGAGUCCGGGAGAGGUGAGUGGAAUUCCUAGUGUAGAGGUGAAAUUCGUAGAUAUUAGGAAGAACACCAGUGGCGAAGGCGGCUCACUGGCCCGGUACUGACGCUGAGGCGCGAAAGCGUGGGGAGCAAACAGGG